rnacentral:rRNA from 1 species
CCUACGGGCGGCAGCAGUGAGGAAUAUUGGUCAAUGGACGAAAGUCUGAACCAGCCAUGCCGCGUGCAGGAUGACGGCUCUAUGAGUUGUAAACUGCUUUUGUAUUAGGGUAAACACCCCUACGUGUAUCGGGUUGAAAGUAUCGUACGAAUAAGGAUCGGCAAACUCCGUGCCAGCAGCCGCGGUAAUACGGAGGAUUCAAGCGUUAUUCGGAGUUAUUGGGUUUAAAGGGUGCGUAGGCGGUUGGAUAGUUAGAGGUGAAAUCCCAGGGCUCAACCUCGGCACUGCCUCUGAUACUGUCGGGCUAUAGUUUAGUUGCGGUAGGCGGAAUGUAUGGUGUAGCGGUGAAAUGCAUAGAGAUCAUACAGAACACCGAUUGCGAAGGCAGCUUACCAAACUACGACUGACGUUGAGGCACGAAAGCGUGGGGAGCAAACAGGAUGAGAUACCCUUGUAGUC